GAAAUGCGAUAAGUAGUGUGAAUUGCAGAAUUCAGUGAAUCAUCGAAUCUUUGAACGCACAUUGCGCCCCUCGGUAUUCCGUGGGGCAUGCCUGUUCGAGCGUCAUCUACACCCUCAAGCUCUGCUUGGUGUUGGGCGUCUGUCCCGCCUCCUUCGCGCGCGGACUCGCCCCAAAUCCAUUGGCGGCGGCCCGUGCCUCCCUCUCGCGCAGCACAUUGCGCUUCUCGAGGCGCGGCGGACCGCGUCCAGCAAGCAACCGUCACACCGUCUUUGACCUCGGAUCAGGUAGGGAUACCCGCUGAACUUAAGC
rnacentral:misc_RNA from 1 species